rnacentral:rRNA from 1 species
CACGUAGGCGGACUAUUAAGUCAGGGGUGAAAUCCCGGGGCUCAACCCCCGGAACUGCCUUUGAUACUGGUAGUCUUGAGUUCGAGAGAGGUGAGUGGAAUUCCGAGUGUAGAGGUGAAAUUCGUAGAUAUUCGGAGGAACACCAGUGGCGAAGGCGGCUCACUGGCUCGAUACUGACGCUGAGGUGCGAAAGCGUGGGGAGCAAACA